AUGAGUGGUCCGCUGGCCGAGUGGACCCGCGAACUCACCAGCGGACUUUCCACGAUCCAUAAAUCACUUUCUGGAGACCCGCCCUCGCCAACAUGGCGGCGCCCAGUUGGGGCGGGUUCGUUUGCUUCGCGUUUUGGCCAGGGCGGGGGUCUGGGCUUUAGGCAGGUAGCAUUUAGUUUCACAAUGUUUGGGGACCUAUUUGAAGAGGAGUAUUCCACUGUGUCUAAUAAUCAGUAUGGAAAAGGGAAGAAAUUAAAGACUAAAGCUUUGGAGCCGCCUGCUCCUAGAGAAUUCACCAAUUUAAGCGGAAUCAGAAAUCAGGGUGGAACCUGUUACCUCAAUUCCCUUCUUCAAACUCUUCAUUUCACACCUGAAUUCAGAGAAGCUCUAUUUUCUCUUGGCCCAGAAGAGCUUGGUUUGUUUGAAGAUAAGGAUAAACCCGAUGCAAAGGUUCGAAUCAUCCCUUUACAGUUACAGCGCUUGUUUGCUCAGCUUCUGCUCUUAGACCAGGAAGCUGCAUCCACAACAGACCUCACUGACAGCUUUGGGUGGACCAGUAAUGAGGAAAUGAGGCAACAUGAUGUGCAGGAACUGAAUCGAAUCCUCUUCAGCGCUUUGGAAACUUCUUUAGUUGGGACCUCCGGUCAUGACCUCAUCAAUCGUCUGUAUCAUGGAACCAUUGUUAACCAGAUUGUUUGUAAGAAUGUAAGAACGUCAGCGAGAGGCAGGAAGACUUCUUAGAUCUAACAGUAGCAGUCAAAAAUGUAUCUGGUUUGGAAGAUGCUCUCUGGAACAUGUAUGUAGAAGAGGAAGUUUUUGAUUGUGACAACUUGUACCACUGUGGAACUUGUGACAGGCUGGUUAAAGCAGCAAAGUCGGCCAAAUUACGUAAGCUGCCUCCUUUUCUUACUGUUUCAUUACUAAGAUUUAAUUUUGAUUUUUGUGAAAUGCGAACGCUACAAGGAAACUAGCUGUUACACAUUCCCUCUCCGGAUCAAUCUCAAGCCCUUUUGUGAACAGAGUGAAUUGGAUGACUUAGAAUAUAUAUAUGACCUCUUCUCAGUUAUUAUACACAAAGGUGGCUGCUACGGAGGCCAUUACCAUGUAUAUAUUAAAGAUGUUGAUCAUUUGGGAAACUGGCAGUUUCAA